rnacentral:lncRNA from 1 species
CCUGAAGAUGGUAAAAAAUUGUUUACCGAAAGCGUUAGCCUUAAUAAAGUGUAAAAAAGCCACAACUGCUGUGUGUGUUUAGUUCUAUAGAAACUAUAGUUAUGAUUAUCUUCACUUACAAGGAGCAGGGUGAGAUAUGAAUGCAAGAAUUAUAGAAAUAUAAGUCUUCUGAAUGUAAUUGGGAGGAUAUUUAUAAGAUUGUAAUUGAAAUUAUUGAUAUGUAUUUUGUGAUAUAUGGUACAUUCAGUGUUGUUUUUAAGAAUGGAAGAGAAUGUAUGAACCAGAUUAUUUCAAUACUACAAUUUUGGAGAAAUAUCUCUGCAUAAAAAAGUAUUCUAACUUCUUUCUUUUUCAAAGAUAUAUUCCUAUAAUUCUUGCACUUGCAUCUCUCACUCUUAUCCUUAUAGUUACAAAUAUCUGUUCAUUUCUGACUCUCAAAAAGAUUUAUGACUGGAUGAAUAAAAGUAAAUGGUGGAAAAUGCUUGGUAGUAUGGAAUGAAUGAAUGGCUGUUUGAACCUGAGAAAGCAGUGUAUGCUAACAAUUUUUGUGUAUGAAAGUGAAUAAAAACAUAUCAAAUUGAUUUAUGAUCAAGAAAUAGGAGAAGCAAAAAUAUGCAAUGCUUCAGUGAUUAUUUAAUGCAUAUAUGAAUUGUGAGUGAAGAAAUUACUGUGAAUGAUUUUGGGUAUGAAGAUGGAUGAAGAAAGAGUCUACUAUGUGCUGCUGAAGUUAUUUUCCUUUCUGAAUGUAAAUGAAGUCAAAGAUUUAUUGAGCCUCUUUUCAUUCGUAAAGAAUAUGUAGGAGUUAUGAACAAAGUCUGAGGAUGCUUGCUGCAAGGUUGAAUGAUGCAUUCCAGAAGAAAUGGUUGAGAAUAAAUGUGAUGAAUAUAAAAAUGUUUGUGUUUAAAAGGGAUGAGAAUUGAACUGAAAUGGGAAUACUUUUAAACAUUGUGUAUGUUAUAAUUAGGGAUAGUGAAUUUUUGCAAUAGCAAUAAAAUGCAAAAUGACAUAUAUUUUCAUAUUUUCAUUUAAAAAAUUCAAUAAAAAAUUAAUUAAUAAUGGAUUAAUCAAU